AUGCAGGGCAGGGCAUCGGCUGGGAGGAGGCAAGGAGCUGGCAGUGGCAGGCACUUGUCUGCUGGAGCUCCAGGAGCAGGGCUGGACCAGACGGGAAGGAGGGGCAGGGCUGGAAGCGGGAGGCCCUGCAGUGUCCUCUUUAUACCAAGUGAGGUAAACAGGCUGUCUCCUGGCUGCAUGUGGUCUCUGGGCAGUCGCCUUCUCCUCCCACAACUGAUUCAUUCCUGGUUCAUUUCUUCACCUCCAGAAAUCCAUCCCUCUGUCCUUUCCACAGUGCGCCUUUGCCUCCUCCAUCUCCCUGAGUCCCCACGGGCAUUCUUGAAGGCUCUGUCUCUAUAUCCAGGCUCCUUUGACUCAUGGACUCAGGCCCCGGGUGCCCUUACCUGCAGCCAGGUGAUUGAAGAGCAGGAAAAGAGAAGGCGGCAAGGCAGCCCAGCCUUCCCCCAGGUCAAGUGCAAAGCCGCUGCGAGGCUGUAGACUGCGUCACUAGGGGGAGAAAAAAAAGGCAAAGGAGACAAGCAAAAUGUUGACACUUAGCUGCCAAGCCUAGCGUCUUCUUAUAAUUUCUCACAGGGAGAAAGUAGGUCAGCAUCGCCCAGUGCAGCCUGGUUCUCCUGCCGUCCCAUCAACUGUGCAGACGCUCCGCUCGACCUGCCAGGGAGCCGGAGACCGCCCGGCCGGAAGCAAUGAGAGGAGACCCUCACGCUCUGGGAAGGCAUUUUAAGGAAAGGGAAUCCAGGAAUCUCACUCCCUCUGCUUGUGAUCAGAGGCUGUGAAAACCAUUAGGACUGGAAGAGGACUGAGGAAACGAGGAAGUCAUGGGGGUGGGUGCUGGGCAUCUGCCUGUGUCUAGCGAAAUUUUAUAAAAUAAAAAAUUUUCAUUCAAUUGUAUGAUAGCCUUGAUUUUGACAAUUGAAUUAACUAACAGGCCCAUGUCUUUGAAAGGUCAACUGGAUCAAGUUCAGUUUGACCCUUUGUCUUUAGACCUGAAAGCCAAGCCAUGCAAAGAGUCCAUCAACAGAAGAAUGGAUAAAUGAAAUGGGGUCUGUCCACGCAAUGGAGUAUUAUUCAGCCUUGGAAAGGGAAUGUGGACACAGCUGUAGUAAUGGAUGAAGCUUGAGGUCUCAGUGAGAUUAGCUGGACACAAAGGAUGAACCCUGUGUGACUCCACUCAGGAGGUCCUUAGGAUGGUCACAUUCACAGAGACAGAAAGCAGAGAAGAAGUUCCCAGAGGCUGGAGGAGGAGGGGAUGGGAAAUGUUCAAUGGGUGUGGGGUUUCCAUUUGGGAAGAUGAAAAAGUUCUGGAGAUGCUGGUGGUGAAGGUGGCCCUGUGAAGGGACUUAAUGCCACUGAACUGUACACUCAAAAAGGCUUAAAAUGAUAAAUUUUAUGUUCAGUCUGUAUUGAAAGUGAAAGUUGCCCAGCCCUGUCUGGCUCUUUGUGACCCCACGGACCCUACAGUCCAUGAAAUUCUCCAGGCCAGAAUACUGGAGUGGGUAGCCUUUCCCUUCUCCAGGGGAUCUUCCCAACCCAGGGAUCAACCCAGGUCUCCUACAUAGUAGGCUGGUUCUUUACCAACUGAGCCACAGGGGAAGCAGUCUCCACCACAAUUUAAAAAUUCCUACCGGUGCCAGAAUCUGAGGAUAGCAUCUGGGAGAGUCCAGACUCUUUUUCUAUCACACAGACCCAGGUUCUUGAGAAUUGUCUUCCCUCUUCAGUCUAGCAGAAACCUCAGUGAUCUUUUUUAUCCGUUUUAUCCGUCUCUUGUUGCUUGGCCAGGUACUACCACAUCCUGUCCUAACGAAAGCAGUAACAGUCUUUAAACUUGAUAAGAGGCCUUUUAAGGAAACCCUCUCUGCAUUUAUGGUUCCGAGCAGAAUGUGGUCCUGUCUGCAUCAGCUUUGGAUAAAAGGAUGCUCAUCUCUAAAAAUCAGGACCAUCUCAAGAGGCUCUCAUUCUUCCCCCGGCCAAUCUUGGCGUGUCUGUGAUGUCUGUGUGGAGGAACAGCGCCCAGCCCAGCUGGUCCCCACCUGGCUGCUGCCUCCCACUCCACCGGGAUCCCUCCAGUUCUGGUUCCGGUUCUGUUGAUUCUUGGAAUUCCCUACCCUGUGUCCUCCCACACGGAAGGAAGGGUGGUGAAGGAGGGGCGGGGCUUGGGAGCACCUCACUCUGAGUCCUUGUUGGGAGGGAGCAUGGUGCAGGCCCCUCCCCACCCAGGCCAGGCUGCAGGCACCUGAGGACCGCCACCCCGACCCGGCCCGCCGGAGUCUUGCUGCCUGGAGAGGUCUGGAGGUCUCCCUGGCUGGAGAGGCGCCCCCGACCUCAUUUCUGAGGCAGAUGGAACUGGGGAAGAGACUUGCAUGACUUUACUCUGUCCUGUGGCCAGCACUUCCCCCAGGGGUUUUUCUAUGUUCCUUUGACUCCUAAUUCCGGACGUCCCCAGGACAGAGCUGGGGAGGCCCUGCUCCCAAGCAGCUGGACAGGCAGACUGGACUGGCAGUGGCCCUGCCCGGAGCUGGGCCUGCCCGCUGGGGUGGGCAGCACGGGCCGGGGUGGGGAAGGCACGUGGAGGGGAGACUGCCGCUCGGGUUGCAGACUUCGGGUAAGGAGGAGGAGGGGUCCCCGUGGGGUACUGGGGCUGGGGAGCCUGGUGAGGAGUGCUGGGGCUGUUCCUGCAAGUCAGGGGAUGGGGGGAGCUCAGCAGAAGGUGAAGGGGUCCCCAUCAGGGACAUACAUCAACCAGUGGACAGGGCGGAGGGAGGCCGCAGAUGAGGGCCCCACUGACGGCAGGGCUGAGAUCCAAGUGUGCAGAGGGUGCCCUGGGGAUCUAGGAGAGCAGCCAGAGGAUAAAGCAGGACUUAGGACUAAGAGGAAGAUUUUAGCCACUGUCGUCGUAAUGAGAGUUCCGUGAGGCCCAGGUGAGCAGCUCUCGGACGCAGACGUUGAUUGGAUGGGCGGCUGGAUGCAGGAGGGUGGAGAGGUGAAUGGAUAGGUAGGUGCAUGAAUUACCCCUGGAUGCGAAGGUUGAUGAAGCUAGAAAAGUAGCCGAGAUCAGAUCAUGAAGGGCUUGUAAGGGGCUUGGGGACAGUGCGGAAAACCACGUGCGGCGUUUAAGUGGGGGAUCUGUGCGUCUGAGCAGACCUUCUGGCUCCGUGUGGGCAAGAGGCUGGUGGAAGCAAAGACCAGUGGGAAGGUCGUUGCGGGGAGAGGCCUUGGCGCCAUGCAGUCAGGUUGAGGGCCAAGAGGAUGCUGUCGGCGGGCGGUCCCAAGAAUUCAGGAAGCAGAGCUCUCAGGAUGCAGUGUCUUAGCUAGAUGACUAAGUUAGUCAGUCAGUUGACUAGUUAGGUGACUGGGGUAAGAGCGGGAAGCACCAGGACAGCCCCCGGUCGACUAGACAGUUUGGGGGGAGCUCCACCUUGCACGGGGUGGGCCACAGAAGGGAGGGGGUCAGGUUGGGGAGACGGAGGGUCGUCAGGAGGGUAACAGCGCCUGCAGGCGUGAUGGCGUCCAUCUGGCAGCCAGAGCCUCCUCUCCUGGGCGCUGAGGGCCCACCCUGCCCUUGCUCACGUCCCUGCGUCCCCGGAGCUCAGCUCAGGGGCUUGAAGAUGGACUCACGGGUCUCCCCCUCCAGCAGCAGCCUUCCCCCGUGGGCCGAGCCACCGCCGUGACUCGGACGCGGGGGCAGUGCGCUCACUCGAGGAGCUGGCCGGCGGGUCCACGUGGAGGAGCCUCCAGACCCAGUGGCCGCCUCCGGCCCUGCGCCUCAGGCCCCAGGCCGGAUGCCAGCCAGGCCCUGGGCUCCUCCCCCGGAGGCCCCGGGCCUCGCUUCCCCACGCCGGGCCCGAGCAAGAUGGGGCCUCCCGCUCGGGACACACGUCGCCAGCUCCGAAGGUGAGGGAGCCGCCCUCUGCACGACCCGGGCUGGGCCGUUCACCAAAGACGCUCCGUCGCAACGCGGCCUCGGGGAAGUGGGUCAGGUGUCCCCAGGGCCGGCCAAGCCGGCGGGAGACAAGGGGCUGAGCGAGGCUUCCUCCGGAGGCCCGACGGUGGGGCCGGAGCCAUUCCGUUUUCCUGUGGUGAUGCACUUCCUUCCCCGGCGCGUCAUUUCCCCCCCCCCCCCCCCCCGCCCCGCCCCGCCCGUCUUCCCGCUCUGAGGUGGACGGACACGCGGGCGUGCGCUCUGUGUUUAUCCGUCCCCAUCCCUCCCGACCCUGGGCUUUCUUCUGGUCCUGUGCCGCAGCUGAGCAGAGGGUGGUGGGUCACCUCUGGGGGCCAUUUGAUCUGAGUAACUCCGUGACCCUGAGGCGUCUCCGAGGGACCCUGAGAGGGGCCUGCUGUGUGGAGGCCGCGGCUUGAGGCGAGGGUAGCCCCAGAGGGACGGGGAUGGGUCAGGGUCAAGGUCAGGGUUAGGGGAAGGACUUCCGGUCCUGUGGGAAGGUGAGGGCUGACAGGCCAGGCGCGUCAGGAGGCGGUGGGGCUCCUCCAACCGCCUGGGUCAAGCUGAUAAUCCGCUGCUGUGACAGAAGAAAGAGGGGCCUCCUUGUUUCUCACAGCUGUUCCAGAAGCACAUCUGCUGCCCUCAGCCUCCCAGGCCAUCAGAGCUGACUUAUAGGCCCCCGCCGACCUUCCAGACAAAGUGGUUGAGCUGCACUCAUUGGGCGCCUCUUGUCAGAGUCCAGCUGGAAAGAUUAGCCAACUGGGAAAGGAUGUGGGAAAGCAACCUAAAUGUCCGCGGACGGGUGACUGGAUAAAGAAGGUGUGGCACGUACAGACAGUGGAAUAUUACUGAGUCGUGAAAAAGACUGAACUCCUGCCAUUUACAGCAACAUGGAUGGACCGAGAAAUCAUCAUACUGAGUGAAGCAGGUCAGACAGAGAAAGGUAAAGAUACACAUGGUACCUCUCAUAUGUGCAAUCUAAAAGAAAUAAUACAAGUGAACUUAUUUAUAAAACAGACUCACAGAUACGGAAAACAAGCUCAUGGUUUCCAAAGUGGAAAGGAGUAGGGCAGAGAUAAAUUAGAAGUUUGGGAUCAGCAGACAGACACUACUAUACAUAAGACAAAUAAGCAACAAGUACCUAUUU
rnacentral:lncRNA from 1 species